CCAGGAUCCACGCAGGCGCAGUGAGGAGACCGUGGCCCUCAAAUCUAGCGCCUGCGCGAUCCCGAUGAUCGGAGAGCCGGGCCGGGGGCCGAGGCUGAAGAGGGUUCAAUUCCUGAGUUUUAGGGCACGCAGCCGGUGGCAAUGAUCCUGAACAACUUGGAGGAAUCUACAAGAAAAACCACUAUCCACAUUCAGAGGAAAAACUGUGGGAGUAGAAACACAGAAGAAAAACAACUGCUUGAAUACAUGGGUCAAGGGAACAUGGCUGGGGAUAUAGACUAAAUGAACAUCCUAGUGCAAACACCAACAACAUGGAAAUAGGUUCUGAUUAAGGACACAAGUAAUACCCAAUGAAAUUGCGCAUCAGCUGUGGGAAGGGUAUGUGGAGGGGAGGGAGGGAAAUAAUAUGAUUCUUGUAAUCAAGAAAUAAUGUUAUAAAUUGACUAAAUAAAUUAAUUUUUAAAAAAAGAAUACAAAAAA